AAUCCCUUUGUUGUUAAAACUACCUUGUUGCUUUGGCGGGACCGCUCGGUUCCGAGCCGCUGGGGAUUCGUCCCAGGCGAGUGCCCGCCAGAGUUAAACCAAACUCUUGUUAUUAAACCGGUCGUCUGAGUUAAAAUUUUGAAUAAAUCAAAACUUUCAACAACGGAUCUCUUGGUUCUCGCAUCGAUGAAGAACGCAGCGAAAUGCGAUAAGUAAUGUGAAUUGCAGAAUUCAGUGAAUCAUCGAAUCUUUGAACGCACAUUGCGCCCCUUGGUAUUCCGAGGGGCAUGCCUGUUCGAGCGUCAUUACACCACUCAAGCUAUGCUUGGUAUUGGGCGUCGUCCUUAGUUGGGCGCGCCUUAAAGACCUCGGCGAGGCCUCACCGGCUUUAGGCGUAGUAGAAUUUAUUCGAACGUCUGUCAAUGGAGAGGACUUCUGCCGACUGAAACCUUUAUUUUUUACAGGUUGACCUCGGAUCAGGUAGGGAUACCCGCUGAACUUAAGCAUAUCAAUAAGCGGAGGAA
rnacentral:misc_RNA from 1 species